rnacentral:misc_RNA from 1 species
GAUGAAGAACGUAGCGAAAUGCGAAAAGUAAUGUGAAUUGCAGAAUUCAGUGAAUCAUCGAAUCUUUGAACGCACAUUGCGCCCGCUGGUACUCCGGCGGGCACGCCUGUCCGAGCGUCAUUUCAACCCUCAAGCCCUCCUUCGGGAUGGGCCUGGUGUUGGGGCUCGGCCGCCAUCUCCGGCGGCCGUCCCCUAAAUACAGUGGCGGUCACGUCGCGACUCCUUUGCGUAGUAGAAACACCUCGCUCCGGAUAGCAACGCGGUCCACGCCGUAAAACCCACAAUUUUCAAUGGUUGACCUCGGAUCAGGUGGGAAUACCCGCUGAACUUAAGCAUAUCAAUAAGCGGAGGA